rnacentral:rRNA from 1 species
CCUACGGGUGGCAGCAGUGGGGAAUAUUGCACAAUGGGCGCAAGCCUGAUGCAGCCAUGCCGCGUGUGUGAAGAAGGCCUUCGGGUUGUAAAGCACUUUCAGCGGGGAGGAAGGCGUUAAGGUUAAUAACCUUGUCGAUUGACGUUACCCGCAGAAGAAGCACCGGCUAACUCCGUGGCCAGCAGCCGCGGUAAUACGGAGGGUGCAAGCGUUAAUCGGAAUUACUGGGCGUAAAGCGCACGCAGGCGGUCUGUCAAGUCGGAUGUGAAAUCCCCGGGCUCAACCUGGGAACUGCAUUCGAAACUGGCAGGCUAGAGUCUUGUAGAGGGGGGUAGAAUUCCAGGUGUAGCGGUGAAAUGCGUAGAGAUCUGGAGGAAUACCGGUGGCGAAGGCGGCCCCCUGGACAAAGACUGACGCUCAGGUGCGAAAGCGUGGGGAGCAAACAGGAUUAGAUACCCUUGUAGUC